CGUUAAUCGGAAUUACGUGGGACGUAAAGCGCAUGCAGGUGGUUUGUUAAGUCAGAUGUAGAAACGGCCCGGGGCUACCAACCUACGGUAAUUGACUAGUUUAGAAACGUGGACAAACUAGAGUACUGUAGAGGGGGUAGAAUUUCAGGUGUAGCGGUGAAAUGCGUAGAGAUCUGAAGGAAUACCGGUGGCGAAGGCGGCCCCCUGGACAGAUACUGACACUCAGAUGCGAAAGCGUGGGGAGCAAACAGGAUUAGAUACCCUGGUAG
rnacentral:rRNA from 1 species